GGCGACGUAGCAUAGUUGUAAUGCGUUUCAUUUACGUUGAGGUAGAACUUUCGAAUAGGAGGCGUCGCUU
rnacentral:tRNA from 1 species